rnacentral:snoRNA from 17 species
UCGCAUGAUGCUUUCGUAUUUUUAUACGCUGGAAAUUACCGACCGAGACCUUCGGGUCGUCGACGAUAUCAAAUGGCUAUUUCUGAUG